UACGUAGGGCGCAAGCGUUGUCCGGAAUUAUUGGGCGUAAAGAGCUCGUAGGCGGUUUGUCGCGUCUGCUGUGAAAUCCCGAGGCUCAACCUCGGGCUUGCAGUGGGUACGGGCAGACUAGAGUGCGGUAGGGGAGACUGGAAUUCCUGGUGUAGCGGUGAAAUGCGCAGAUAUCAGGAGGAACACCGAUGGCGAAGGCAGGUCUCUGGGCCACUACUGACGCUGGAGAAGC
rnacentral:rRNA from 1 species